AUUCCAGAUACCCCAUGGCCUCGCAGACAUCCUUGCACAUCUCUAGAAGCUCUGUGCCCUGGAGGGACCGCCGAGUGUCCCGCAGGACUCAUUGCUCUCCUCCAGGACAAUGUACUCUUUGCCCUUUUGCAGCUCCAGGUCCUGUUCAGUCAUUGGGAGAUAGUCAUAGAGAGCCACGACUUUCCUUGUCCUAGACUGGCCACCAGGCACCGGUUCAGGGGGCAACUGCUUCUUGAUCAUCUUUGCCCGUGUUCAGAGAGGAAAUAAGAAAAGAAUAAGACUUUCAGGAUACCACUUUCAGCACCUAUCACAAGUAGAGGGAACUUGAUGGAAAGAAGUCCCAACGAGAGAAGAAUGGUUACGGAAACGAAUGGACUAUGCAGAAACGGCAAAACUUACCAGAAGAAUAAGAAAUCAAGACAAUAAACUUUUUUUAGUAAGAAAUGGAAAUGGUUUAUUGAAUAUUUACAGAUAUGUUGCAAACAAGACAUUAGCAGGAUUGUUGUAAAAACUUGCAGUUUCUAAAACAUAUAUGAAUUAGAUGAGAAAAAAGGAUAGAGUUAAUUGGGAUAUGCAGGGGAAAAGAAAGAAAACAAAUUCAUGGAACUGCAGAAAAAGGAGGAGGGAAGUCUGGGAAGUCAAAGAUUGAUAUGUGAGAACUGUUUCAUUUUCUUUGUUGAAAUGUUUAUUUGUUACAAAUGAAAAUAAAUAAACUUU